CCCAGCCUCGCUGCCGCCUUGCAGUUUGAUCUCAGACUGCUGUGCUAGCAAUCAGGGAGACUCCGUGGGCGUAGGACCCUCCGAGCCAGGUGUGAGAUAUAAUCUCAUGGUUCGCCGCUUUUUAAGCCGGUCUGAAAAGCGCAAUAUUCGGGUGGGAGUGACCCGAUUUUCCAGUAUUCUUUAGGUGAUGCUAGAAGGCCUCUUCAUGAAACAGCAGUUUUGGUAGAAGAUGUGGUACACACUCAGUUAAUUAAUCUUUACAGCAAGCUGCUGAAGUUUCUCAGCUGCGGGGAGCAAGGGUAAUCACUCCUGAAGAUCUUCUGUUUUUGAUGCGCAAAGAUAAAAAAAACUUAGAAGACUGCUAAAAUACAUGUUUAUCCGAGACUACAAAUCAAAGAUUGUCAAAGGCAUCGAUGAGGAUGAUCUUCUCGAAGGU
rnacentral:lncRNA from 1 species